AGCGAACGCUGGCGGCAGGCCUAACACAUGCAAGUCGAACGAACCUUUCGGGGUUAGUGGCGGACGGGUGAGUAGCACGUGGGAACGUGCCUUUAGGUUCGGAAUAACUCAGGGAAACUUGUGCUAAUACCGAAUGUGCCCUUCGGGGGAAAGAUUAAUCGCCUUUAGAGCGGCCUGCGUCUGAUUAGCUAGUUGGUUGAGGUAAUGGCUCACCAAGGCGACGAUCAGUAGCUGGUCUGAGAGGAUGAUCAGCCACAUUGGGACUGAGACACGGCCCAAACUCCUACGGGAGGCAGCAGUGGGGAAUCUUGCGCAAUGGGCGAAAGCCUGACGCAGCCAUGCCGCGUGAAUGAUGAAGGUCUUAGGAUUGUAAAAUUCUUUCACCGGGGACGAUAAUGACGGUACCCGGAGAAGAAGCCCCGGCUAACUUCGUG
rnacentral:rRNA from 1 species